rnacentral:rRNA from 1 species
CUGGGCGUAAAGCGUGCGCAGGCGGUUUUGUAAGACAGGUGUGAAAUCCCCGGGCUUAACCUGGGAACUGCGCUUGUGACUGCAAGACUCGAGUACGGCAGAGGGGGGUGGAAUUCCACGUGUAGCAGUGAAAUGCGUAGAGAUGUGGAGGAAUACCAAUGGCGAAGGCAGCCCCCUGGGAUAAUAUUGACGCUCAUGCACGAAAGCGUGGGGAGCAAACAGGAUUAGAUACCCCGGUAGUCCACGCCCUAAACGAUGUCUACUAGUUGUUGGUGGAGUAAAAUCCAUGAGUAACGCAGCUAACGCGUGAAGUAGACCGCCUGGGGAGUACGGUCGCAAGAUUAAAACUCAAAGGAAUUGUCGGGGGCCCGCACAAGCGGUGGAUUAUGUGGAUUAAUUCGAUGCAACGCGAAAAACCUUACCUGGCCUUGACAUGCCACUAACGAAGCAGAGAUGCAUUAGGUGCCCGUAAGGGAAAGUGGACACAGGUGCUGCAUGGCUGUCGUCAGCUCGUGUCGUGAGAUGUUGGGUUAAGUCCCGCAACGAGCGCAACCCUUGCCAUUAAUUGC